AACGAACGCUGGCGGCAGGCUUAACACAUGCAAGUCGAGCGCCUCGCAAGAGGAGCGGCAGACGGGUGAGUAACGCGUGGGAAUCUACCGUGCCCUAAGGAAUAGCUCCGGGAAACUGGAAUUAAUACCUUAUACGCCCUUCGGGGAAAGAUUUAUCGGGGUAUGAUGAGCCCGCGUUGGAUUAGCUAGUUGGUGGGGUA
rnacentral:rRNA from 1 species